GACGAACGCUGGCGGCGCGCCUAACACAUGCAAGUCGAACGGAGCGUACUGUGUGAAGCCCUUCGGGGUAGAACUUUGUAUUGCUUAGUGGCGAACGGGUGAGUAACACGUGAGCAACCUACCCUAGAGUGGGGGACAACAUCUGGAAACGGUAGCUAAUACCGCGUGAUGUCGCAAGACCAAAGAGGGGGACCUUCGGGCCUCUCGCCAUCAGAUGUGCCCAGAUGGGAUUAGCUAGUAGGUGGGGUAAAGGCUCACCUAGGCGACGAUCCCUAGCUGGUCUGAGAGGAUGACCAGCCACACUGGGACUGAGACACGGCCCAGACUCCUACGGGAGGCAGCAGUGGGGAAUAUUGCACAAUGGGCGCAAGCCUGAUGCAGCCAUGCCGCGUGUGUGAAGAAGGCCUUAGGGUUGUAAAGCACUUUCAGCGGGGAGGAAGGGUAUAGGCUUAAUACGUUUAUACAUUGACGUUACCCGCAGAAGAAGCACCGGCUAACUCCGUGCCAGCCGCCGCAGUAACAC
rnacentral:rRNA from 1 species